UACGAAGGGGGCUAGCGUUGCUCGGAAUCACUGGGCGUAAAGGGUGCGUAGGCGGGUCUUUAAGUCAGGGGUGAAAUCCUGGAGCUCAGCUCCAGAACUGCCUUUGAUACUGAGGAUCUUGAGUACGGGAGAGGUGAGUGGAACUGCGAGUGUAGAGGUGAAAUUCGUAGAUAUUCGCAAGAACACCAGUGGCGAAGGCGGCUCACUGGCCCGUUACUGACGCUGAGGCACGAAAGCGUGGGGAGCAAACAGG
rnacentral:rRNA from 1 species